CCUACGGGGGGCAGCAGUAGGGAAUAUUGCUCAAUGGGGGAAACCCUGAAGCAGCAACGCCGCGUGGAGGAUGAAGGUUUUCGGAUUGUAAACUCCUUUUGUUAGAGAAGAUAAUGACGGUAUCUAACGAAUAAGCACCGGCUAACUCCGUGCCAGCAGCCGCGGUAAUACGGAGGGUGCAAGCGUUACUCGGAAUCACUGGGCGUAAAGGGCGCGUAGGCGGGAUAGCAAGUCAGAUGUGAAAUCCUAUGGCUUAACCAUAGAACUGCAUUUGAAACUGUUAUGCUAGAGUAUGGGAGAGGUAGGUGGAAUUCUUGGUGUAGGGGUAAAAUCCGUAGAGAUCAAGAGGAAUACUCAUUGCGAAGGCGACCUGCUAGAACAUAACUGACGCUGAUGCGCGAAAGCGUGGGGAGCAAACAGGAUUAGAUACCCGGGUAGUC
rnacentral:rRNA from 1 species